UAUAUUAUUAGUUCUUGAUGACUGUUGAAAAAAAAUGAAUGCUCUAGCUGCCUAUAUAAAGUUCCCAGACUCCUCCGGCAGCGACGAUGGUCCGAAGCUACAUGAAUGUUCAUGGGAUCUAAGAAGACGUGCUAAAUUGAAAAGCAAUGGCCAGUCAGCUCAGAUGAGAUCUUCUGUUAAGUAGAGAAUAAGAAGAAUUUCAGUAGAAUGAUUACUGUAUUCUUGCACGCUUCAAAUGUGUUUGCUUCAUCCAAUCAAGGCAUUCCUCUGCAGUUCCUGUGGGAUGGGCAAGCUGCCAUGCCAGCAAUUUUUGUUGCCACUCCCUAACAAGUGGUCCUCCAGAUUUAAGCUGCUCAUAAUCUCUUUACCAUUGACCAAUGGCUUUACAUCCCAGAUUUUUUCAAGACCUAGUUUAGUGAUGGCAUUCUCAACUGUCUUAAAUAGUUCUAUUCUCUUGUCAAGUUGAUAUUGCUUAUCUAAAAAAUCUUCAGUAGAGUCGAUGUUGGCAGGAUAUAUCAUUGUAGAUAUCAACAAGGCAACUCGCAAAAAAUCUUUGACAUCUCGUAGUAGAAACCCUGCCAAUACUCGGAGUUUCGAUGAGAAAGGCACAUCAAUAAGUUCUGGUCCCCAGUCAACUUCAGCUGGCUGGGUGUCCUCGUUAGAAGUAAGCAAAUCAAAUAAGUUUAAGAAUUUCUCUAAUGACCUGUGUAUCUUCAUAACUGUUUCAGAAUCGCUGGAUUUUUGCUUGAGAGAGUCUUUGAAGAUAAAGUUGACAACAGGAGCCGUUUUACCCUUCUCAUCCUUGCACGUAAUAUUUCUGAAUGGGAGAAAUAAAGCCGCAUACAAAGACAGUCUCCUUUGUUCAACAGUGAAGAUGGAACACCCAAUUAAUUGAAUAAGGUUCCAUGAUGCAUCCAAGUACGCAAUACAUAGCUUGUGGCAUCCUUCUGACACUGCUGGCUCAACCUUAGGAGGAAGACCAAAGACAACCCAGAAUAAUGUCAAAUCAGCAAUGCAUGUCAUAGCUUUAAC
rnacentral:misc_RNA from 1 species